rnacentral:rRNA from 1 species
GUGGGGAAUUUUUCGCAAUGGGGGAAACCCUGACGAAGCAACGCCGCGUGGAGGAUGAAGGCCUUCGGGUCGUAAACUCCUGUCGACCGGGACGAACGCUAUUGGGCCCAAUACGCCCGAUAGUCGACUGUACCGGUGGAGGAAGCCACGGCUAACUCUGUGCCAGCAGCCGCGGUAAUACAGAGGUGGCAAGCGUUGUUCGGAAUUACUGGGCGUAAAGGGCGCGUAGGCGGUCUUGUCAGUCCCUUGUGAAAUCCCCCGGCUCAACUGGGGAACUGCAAGGGAAACAGCAGGGCUUGAGUUCGGGAGAGGGAAGCGGAAUUCCGGGUGUAGCGGUGAAAUGCGUAGAUAUCCGGAGGAACACCGGUGGCGAAGGCGGCUUCCUGGACCGACACUGACGCUGAGGCGCGAAAGCUAGGGGAGCAAACGGGAUUAGAAACCCGUGUAGUCC